CAUCUUUCAAGCAAACCCAGCCAUCAUCAUCAUUGACAAAUAGAGCGAUGAGAUGAAUAGAAAAUAUUUUGGCUUUCAAGGGGGCACAGUCAUUAUUCUGAAGUCGAAAAUUGGUAUUUUAUCACCCUUUAUUUCUUUUUGUAAGAAAUGAAAAUUCACAGAUGUCUACAGUAGAACCCGUUUGUCAACAUUGGUCAGUCGGUCUGAGGGGCGUGGUUAUAGACAUUAUUGAAAUUGAAAUCAAAACUAGCCAGGACAGAAGGCGAACAGUCAAUAGUAAUGGAUUUUUUUAACCUAUUGAAAUUUUAUAUUUCUUUCAUUUGGCCACAUUUUUAAUUCAGUGCUGUUUUCAUUAUAUAUUAUUCGCAAUAAAUAAAAAAAAUAUUAAUUUUAUUUAUUAAUUAUUUAUUAAUUAUUUACUAUUUAUUUAUUAAUUUAAAAGUGUUUAUAUGUAAAUUGAAGUAUUCAUCUAUUAUUCUAUAUUAUCAUAUAUAUGUGUAUUCUAGUACAGAACAACAGAAUGAAAAAUGCUCCCAUGGAGGUUUACUACUUAUUAAAAUCGCCGAUUCGUUGUCAUAUCAAAAAGGGAUUCCGCCUCCGAUCAGCCAAUUAUCAUGAAGAAGCCGAGCGUUCGGGUCAGCUCACUGCCAUCAAACUCCAGCUUCCGUAGGAGUCAAUCGCCACUGAUAAAUAGACCCAUUUUAUGUUGACCAUGUAAGUCGGCACUGAGUAUGGUGGACCAGGACAUGAUGAGUUAGUCCACAUAGAUGUGUUGUUGACAUAAGCGGGUUCCACUGUAUUUGUGUAAAUAGAUGUACCGAUGAAAACAAUACUUUAUUAAUUAUUGGCGAAAGAAAACGUGAAUGCCACAACAGGGCUCUUCUAUGGUAUGUAUGAGUGCAUGAGGGCUAUUGUUUGGGUACACAGACACAACAAACUCUUUGGACUCAAACACUUUGGUAUCCCAUCCUUUACUGUAUAUCUCAUCCGGUUUGACUUUUGUCAUCAGCGCUCAUCAUUCGUAGCUGCCACCAUCCUAAUCUGACCCCUGACCUCUCCCAUAAUGCCAUGCGUCACCACAGAGGCCUUUGCAUCAAAGCUGUCCUCACUGUUCGUGUCGCUGUCACAACUGGAGCUUGCCGACAAAGCGGCGAGCGGUACGACUGAUUCCGUGGAGUCUCGGUCCUGCCGGGUGGUUCCUGCUAGAGGUGGAGAGGAACUGUGGGACGGGGGAGGCGUGUCACAUUGAAAAAGAGGCUCGAUUUUGUUGUCCAGCCCGGAUGAGUCAAUGUUCUGGAUCUCCUCAUCAUCAUCAUCAGACGAGUCCUUGCUUGAGUCCCGGGCCUGGUCGUUGAGCAGCGUGACCAGGAAGUUGAUGUACUUCACGGCCAGACGCAGAAUCUCGUUCUUGCUCAGCUUCUUGUCGGGUGGAUGCGUGGGGAUAAGCUUCCUCAGCUCUGAAAAGGCGCCGUUCACGUUUUGCUGGCGCCAGCGCUCACGGCUGUUAGUGAAGACGCGCCGAGCGAUUUUCUGAGGAGGACCUGCUGGAUACACACACACACACAUUGUGUGAGCUGGUGUUGUCAUGGCAGUAUUCACUAUGUCCUCAGACAAGACAAGCCGUCACAGUAAAGUACUGUAUUGACCUGAAUGCAUGACCAUUUUUUAAAAAGACAUCUCUUUCAGAGCUUUUCUUCCUGUCACUCACACUCUCACUGACAUCUUCUCUUAAACUGGGCAGUGAAAAAUAUAUUUAUGCAAACUACUUCUCCCCAAGCGAGAGCAAAUCAGAGCUUUUCUUCCCGUCACCCACACUCUCACUGACAUCUUCUCUUAAACUGGGCAGUGAAAAAUAUAUUUAUGCAAACUACUUCUCCCCAAGCGAGAGCAAAUCAGAGCUUUUCUUCCCGUCACCCACACUCUCACUGACAUCUUCUCUUAAACUGGGCAGUGAAAAAUGUAUUUAUGCAAACUACUUCUCCCCAAGCGAGAGCAAUUCAGAGCUUUUCUUCCUGUCACUCACACUCUCUCAGUGACAUCUUCUCUUAUACUGGGCAGUGAAAAAUGUAUGCAUGCAAACUACUUCUCCGCAAGCGAGAGCAAUUCGGAGCUUUUCUUCCUGUCACUCACACUCUCUCACUGACAUCUCUUAUACUGUGCAGUGAAAAAUGUAUGCAUGCAAACUAGAUCUCCCCAAGCGAGAGCAAUUCAGAGCUUUUCUUCCUGUCACUCACACUCUCUCACUGUUAGCAAACAUUAAUUCAUUCAUUUUCUACCACUUAUCCUCAUGAGGGUCACAGGGGUGCUGGAGCCUAUCCCAUCUGUGUUCGGGCGAGAGGCGGGGUACACCCUGGACUGGUGGCCAGCCAAUCACAGGGCACAUAUAGACAAACAACCAUUCACACUCACAUUCAUACCUAUGGACAAUUUGGAGUCGCCAAUUAACCUAGCACCUCCGGGAGUUCCAUACACGGGGAGGACAUGCAAACUCCAUACAAUGAUGGCCGAGGGUGGAAUUGAGCUCAGGUCUCCUAGCUGUGAGGCUUGCGUUCAAACCACUUGACACCGUGCAGCCGUGUUAGCAAACAAUCUUAUGGAAUACCCGUUGGUUUGUUGUAAAUAUAGUUUUCUUCUGACAUUUCCUUAUGGAGUACUACAUCAAUCUUAACGUUAAAAUCCAAACUAUAAAGGUGCUGAUGAAAAGUAUGAAAAGUGUACUUGAAUCAGGACCAUAUUCCAACAGAAGAAGCUCAUCAGACAUUCAAGAAUCCUUGGAAGCCACCCACUCUUAAAAAUAUGUGACGAAGGUCUCCUCUUAAUUCGGCUGCUGGUGAUGACGCCAUAACUUCCUCCUGAGGUACCCAAGUAUGAACUGAAGGAACACAGGGAUUUCCAACCAAAAUAAAAAGUGGUCUCACCUGGAGAAGAAAGGAUGAGGGGGCAGGUACGACUGAGCCAGCAUCGGUCCCGGUGAGACCGCCAGUGUUCCCCCUGCAGAGCCAGCGGACCCCCCUGAGCUGGACAUGUGAAAACACGGCAGGUGGCUGCGGCGGAGCUCCAGGUGAGGGUGUUUUUUCGGGAUGGGGUGCAGCGUGGUUAGAGGUGUGUUGGGAAUAGCGAGAGGUGGCUUGCUGUGGGCCAGACUAAUGACUGGAAUAUGGGGAGGAAGAGGUGAGCCUGACGAGGCUGCGGUAGAGGAAGGUGGAGGCGGGCGUGAGCCCGGAGUUGUCUUGGUUGGUGCUGAGAGGAGCGGCGGCGGGGAGGCAAGUGUUGGAGAUUUUGUUCUUGGUCCUUCUUGGUGCUCCGCUGUCUCCAUGGUGACUGACUCAGGUGUAUCUGAGGUGCUCUUCUGAGUGGUUUUGGGCGCCUCAGCUGAGCAGGUAGAGGGGACAUCUUUGUCUCCCGUAGCGUCCAUGGAAGACGCUAAAAGUGGACUUUGGUGCUCCUCGGAUGCACAUGAUGGUGAAGAGGGGGCAGGGGGGAGGUGCGGGGCCUCUUUGGGGUUAAUCCUCUCCAUCAUGGUGGUAAAUGAGGAGAACACGCCGCUUCCAAACCUCUUUCCCUCUUUUAUGUGCGUUGGUGUCACUAUUUAUCAAUCAACCUGAUGCUCUCCAUAAGACUUGAAUGCUAGAUUUUGUUCAUGUUUUUGCAUUUUUACACCUCUUCCACGUCAACUUUCUACCCAUCGCUCCCCUUUUUAGGUUUUUCUGUCGUUCAAGACAUUUUUACACUCUUUGCAUACAAUGUCAUUCCUUACUGCAGCUGACCUUUAAUGGAUGUUUAAGUACAACUUGACCCAAGGUGGAUGCCAGUAUACACACAUCCUGCAUGGAGGAUUCUCUGUUGUCUCCAAUGAGUGUGUGUUUGUGUGUGAGUAGUCCGAGGAUGUGAGUCAAAAUCCUUUAAAGCGUUUAAAAUGUCCCCGGCUGGCGAAGAUUGGAUCCAUAUCAAAGAGACUGUGAAACAAAGGGAAAAGGCACAUGGGAUUUACUGUAUAGUUGCCGCAUAUUUACACAGGAAUGUACAGCAUGUCACCCUUUACACGCCAGCAACACUGAUUAAUGAUAUAUAUAUGAUAAUGAUAUAAUACAUACAGUAUACACAUAAUGUAUACAAUUGUUAUUUAGCAAAUGUGCUUCUUGCAAAGAGAGAUACGUAUUAGUGUAGGUUCUGAGUCACCAUCUUUUAGGUUUUGCAACAGCAGUGGUUCCUGUUUUGUUGCCCGCUUUAUGGUCAUGACUUUUAUUUUGGACAGUUCCCUCUUUCACAAUGAUUAAGAGGUCAGAAACAUACUGGUUUUGUUUCAGCUAAAACCCUAUCAACUACAUUCAUCUCAAAUAAACACAUACUUUAUG